CUGAACAUGUUACAAUUACUGUACUAUGUAAUGGAACUAAUAGCAGUACAACUUUCCAAAUAGAGAAUACCAAUGAUAUAACUGGAUUGAUAUCAGUCCCUCAGUAUCAAGAGUGUAAUAUCAGUAUUGUAUUUAGUAAUGAGGCUGGUAGUAGUGAACCAUUUAUACUGAUAUUUGAUACACAUCAUCCUUCUCCUAACAUCACUAAUGUCACUGAUAUCACUGAUGUCACUAUUAUUGAUGCUAUUACUACUACUAAUAUUAUUACUGUACAAACAUCUCCUACUACCACACCUGGUUCAACAAGUUUUAAUAUCAGUACUGUUAUUAUCACAUCAGCAAUAUCAUUGGGUGCUGUUAUUAUACUAUUACUGACAUGUCUCAUUGUAUUUAGUAUAUA